GAUGAAGAACGCAGCGAAAUGCGAUAAGUAAUGUGAAUUGCAGAAUUCAGUGAAUCAUCGAAUCUUUGAACGCACCUUGCACCCUUUGGCAUUCUGAAGGGUAUGCUCGUUUGAGUGUCAUUGUACUCUCACACUCCCGAUCUUUGCAUUGGGAGCAGUGGACUUGGGUUUGCUGCUUCACCGUCGCUUACCUCAAAUAGGUUAGUGCAACUCUUGGUUGGACAUAGUACGGCGUGAUAAGUGUUCUUCGCCGGUGCCUCGCAAAGAGGGUGGCCGAUCGGGAUGUUGUGCUCCAAACCGUCUUCGGACAAUCUCUGACAACUUGACCUCAAAUCGAGUAGGACUACCCGCUGAACUUAAGCAUAUCAAUAAGCGAGGA
rnacentral:misc_RNA from 1 species